CAAAUACUCCCUCCGUCCGAAAAUACUUGUCAGAGGAAUGGAUGUAUCUAGAUGUAUUUUAGUUCUAGAUACAUCCAUUUUUAUGCAUUUCUCCGACAAGUAUUUCCGGACGGAGGGAGUACUGU
rnacentral:pre_miRNA from 1 species